rnacentral:tRNA from 1 species
AUUUAAAUAGCUUAAAUUAAAGAGUAUUACGUUGAAGGUGUAGUGGUGACUUUUGUCUUUAAAUG